rnacentral:lncRNA from 1 species
UAGAACUCAGGAUACCAGCCUAGGAAUGGCACCACCCACUACGGGCUGAGCCCUCCCACACUGAUCACUAAUUGAGAAAAUGCCUUACAGCUGGAUCUCAUGAAGGCUUUUCCUCAACAGAGGCUCCUUCCUCUCUGAAGACUCUAACCUGACCCACAAACCCAUCAGUCCAGGGAGAAAGGUUCAGGAUUCGGGACUGCCUCAAAGACCAGAGAGAACAGCAACAAUAUGGAUGUCAGACCACAAAACUUCAAGAGUGCUGAAGGCCAGGCUGCUCCCUAGGUAUGUUUGUGAAGUUACCGAUCAGAACUGAGUCGCUGGAAUUCCAUGUGGUCAUCCUCAUGCCUUCCAAGGCUGCUAAGAUGCUGGACUGGAUGCCAGGUGGGAAGUGGGCAAUCCUUAGAAUGUUGCUGCAGCUGCUUAUGUGUGAACAAAACUGGCCUGAUUCACUCUAAACCGAACCAGAUUUCCAAAGCCAAGUACUGUUUGUCCAGCCUUCCUUGUCCCUUCUUAGCCUUCUGAGAAGUAUGACAAUGCACUUGGAAAUACAACCAGCUUCUUCAAAUAAAAUGAUUCCGU